rnacentral:rRNA from 1 species
GAUGAACGCUGGCGGCGUGCCUAAUACAUGCAAGUCGAGCGAACGGACGAGAAGCUUGCUUCUCUGAUGUUAGCGGCGGACGGGUGAGUAACCCGUGGAUAACCUACCUAUAAGACUGGGAUAACUUCGGGAAACCGGAGCUAAUACCGGAUCAUAUUUUGAACCGCAUGGUUCAAAAGUGCAAGACCGUUUUGCUGUCCCUUAUAGAUGGAUCCGCGCUGCAUUAGCUAGUUGGUAAGGUAACGGCUUACCAAGGCGACGAUGCGUAGCCGACCUGAGAGGGUGAUCGGCCACACUGGAACUGAGACACGGUCCAGACUCCUACGGGAGGCAGCAGUAGGGAAUCUUCCGCAAUGGGCGAAAGCCUGACGGAGCAACGCCGCGUGAGUGACGAAGGUCUUCGGAUCGUAAAACGCUGUUAUUAGGGAAGAAAAAAUGUGUAAGUAACUGUGCACGUCUUGACGGUACCUAAUCAGAAAGCCACGGCUAACUACGUG